rnacentral:rRNA from 1 species
UAGGGAAUCUUGGACAAUGGGCGAAAGCCUGAUCCAGCCACGCCGCGUGAGUGAUGAAGGCCUUAGGGUUGUAAAGCUCUUUCGCCAGGGAAGAUAAUGACGGUACCUGGAUAAGAAGCCCCGGCUAACUUCGUGCCAGCAGCCGCGGUAAUACGAAGGGUGCUAGCGUUGUUCGGAAUUACUGGGUGUAAAGGGCGCGCAGGCGGGAUAAAAAGUCAGUGGUGAAAUCCUACAGCUUAACUGUAGAACUGCCUUUGAUACUUUUAUUCUUGAGUUCGGGAGAGAGAGACGGAAUUCCAGGUGUAGUGGUGAAAUACGUAGAUAUCUGGAAGAACACCAGUUGCGAAGGCGGUCUCUUGGUCCGACACUGACGCUGAGGCGCGAAAGCGUGGGGAGCAAACA